GGUGCAAGUCACGUGGGCUUGUUAGGCUUUGCUCACAGCCAUAAUGUCGGAAAAGAUUACAUUUCAUAGUGAAGUCCAAAAGAAGAAGAAGAAGAAGAAGAAGUUUUUUUUUUUUAAAUUAAUAUUAAGACCUGAUCAAGGACUUUGCUGCAAAGAAGACUUCACGACAGAAUUUCUAACAGGUGCAGACCGCGUCAUACUCCCAGAGAAGUACGCAACUUUGACAACCUACGCUCUCUGAACGUGGCCUCUGCAGAUUAGCUCUCGUUCUCGGACUUUGGAACUGCCAAUCUGCCGUCGACAAGGCAGAUUUCAUUCCUGCCUUUGCAACCCACUCCAACCUCAGUGUGUUGUCUCUGACUGAGACCUGGAUCCAUACUGAACACUGCCACUUCAACUUCUCCCAUACCUCAUGUCCCAACAGGCGAGGGAGUGAUACAGGUCAACUGUGGAAGUUCAUCGAUGAAUUUGACAUGCUACUGUCCACCAUACCGGAUGAUGGAACUCCUCCUGUGGUCCUUGGUGACUUCGACAUUCAUCUAGACAAGCCACAUGAUUUUCUUGCUCACCUUCUCACAUUUGACCUCAAGCAGUUCAUCACACCAGCAACCCACAAAACCGGCAAACAGCUCGACCUCAUCCUCACACAACAACCUCCUGGACACCAAGCAGUCUGGCUUCGAGAGCAAUCGCUCCACGGAGACCGCUCUGCUUUCGGUCACCGAAGCCUUACGACUAGCAAGAGCAACCUCUAGAUCCUACUCGACCUCUCUGCUGCUUUCGACACUGUGAACCGUCCGAUUCUCCUGUCGAUUCUGUCAAGCCCGGGCAUCGCUGGAACGGUUCUGCGCCGGGUGGAAUCCUAUCUCUCGGACAGAUCCUUCAAGGUAUCGUGGAGGGGAGGUAUUUCUGAAACUUGGCAACUCUCAAAGGCGUUCCACAGGGGUCAGUUCUGGGUCCACUGCUCUUUUCUAUCUACACUACAUCUCUAGGGCAGGUGAUUGAGUCUCAUGGCUUUGCAUAUCAUCGAUUAUGCUGACGACACCCAGCUCUAUUUGUCCUUCCAUCUCGGUCUGGAUGAGGGAACAACCUGGCAAAAUCUGAGAUUCUCGUCACCCCAGCCUCUCCCUCAAUCAACCACAACCUCACUGUACAGCUCGGCUCGACCACACUCGAGCCAACCAGGACGGCCAGGAACCUUGGGUGAUUCUCGAUGACGGCUUGACCUUGACGGACCACAUCUCAACAACUGCACGGUCCUGUACAACAUCGAGAAAGUCGGAUCCUACCUCACCAAACAGGCUACGUAGAUACUAGUCCAGGCUCUUGUUAUCUCAAAACUGGACUACUGCAACUCGCUACUCUCGGGCCUCCCGGCCGGCUCCAUCGAACACCUUCAAAAGAUUUCAGGAUGCAGCGGCAUGCCUCGUCUCCAACCAGCUCGAGAGAACCCGUGUCUCGUCUCCCUCCACUGGCUUCCUGUAGCCGCCCGCAUCAAAUUCAAGGCCUUGAUGCUCUCCUACAAGACCUUGUCUGGAUCAGCACCCUCCUACCUCAACUCUCUCUCCUGAAGGCUUGCGUUCCCUCACGCAGUCUGCGAUCGAUCGAUGACCGAUGCUUGGUAGUACCUACACUGCGUGGCUUAAGGUCCCUUUCAAGAACCUUCAAACUAACACUUCCAACCUCAAUCCGGACUGAAGAAUCUCUCAAUCUUCCAAAAACGGCUGAAGACACACCUCUUCUGUGAACACCUAACCAACCCAUUAAAAAAAAAUAAAGAUAAAUGGAUAAAAAAUUUGCUCUGGAACUUGCCCCUCUACCCUGCUUCUUCUAGAACUCAAUUAAUGGAUCUUGUAUGGCAGCUCUGCUUGAUGUAUCGCUUUGCUUGUAUUUUUCUCAUUCGUAAGGCGCUUUGAAUAAAAGCAUCUGCUAAAUGAAUAAAUGUAAAUACUUUUCAGUCACAAGUGUGAGUGAAAUGGUCGCACUGUAGAGCCCUGUGUUUAUCUGCAAAGUUUUUUUUCCAGUUCGCCCACUCUAUCCGAACCUGUCAGAACUGAGCCGUGACCCCUACCGAACUGUGCGCCGGCCGUCCUAGCUCCACCGGUGGCGUUACACACGAGAUGCCAAGUGAAGGGACAACAUUGCUUCCUGAGGGCUUCAGACCAACAAAAUCGGACAGAGAAGGGACAAUGCACGCCGUGAUAAGUGGCCGGAGAAGGCGGCCCUAUGCUAGUUCACAGACCCUGGACGUUGGAGGACAUCGGGAGCAGCCCGACUCCUUUGCCGGCGCUCUGCGAAGUAGGAGGACGAAAGUUUGGGGAUGAACCUCCAGAUAUUCUGCAGAGAUUUCAGACCCACCACCCAUGAACUACGAUGACCACUUCUGGCAAAACUUGGCACGGACUGGGUCGAGGUUUCACGUGAAUUCCCAGAGGAUGAUGUCCGUCCGAUCACAACGCACAGUGGCACGUGGAGUCGACGCAAGGUACAGAGCACGAAUCGCUGCGCUCCAGCAGAGGCUGACGGACACCUUUUCUUGUGCGACUGGACAUGAAGAAAAUAGCAGAGUAAACAAGAAGACUGAGACUGUAUCACAGUACCUGUCCAGUCUCUUUCCGUGACGCAAACUCGGGCUUGGAGAAAGCCGACGCUCUGGCAGAUGGGCAGGCGGCCGUCACAGCCCGUGAGGCACAUCUCAGAAACCGCUUUAUGAAUGGCAUUAAACCAGAAAUUGUCGCUAUAGUCAAACAGCAAUGAUAGUGAUGGGUGAUAACCUGGGACACUGGAAGCCUCGCACAAGUGGAGAGGUACGCGAUCCAUGCGGAGGAGCUUCUACGAGAGGCAAAGGAAAGAAAGAUGGAGACGAAAACCAAAAGGAUGUGGUCAAGGAAGGCCAGGUGGCCACCCCCAUAGACACAACUUCACGUGUCUAUAUGCGGAAAAGUUGUACAUUUUGCAAGAGACUGUCCAGAGCAGAAGCGAACUGAUGGUGGAGUUAAGGGAAGGGUGAGGAACCUGGGAACAGAAGAGGUGACUUCAGACCCCCAAACUAUCAGUUAGCUCACAAAGAACGGGAAUACAUGCACACAUCCAACAUUAGUCAGACUGACAGUUCGGGAUCGUGAUCGAGGACUUCCGCAGGACCAGGUGGAACAAUCCUUUUCGUCACUCACUCCGUGGUAAAGGCCAGCCAGAGAGCCACGUCGAUGCAUGCGAGCCACUGCUGGAGGGCGCUGGAGCCGAGCACUGAGCUGGAGAAGACUGGACUGCGAUAGGAGAACUAGAUGAUGAUGAUGAUGAUGAUGAUGAUGAUUCUCGAUCAAGAGGCCUCUAGGAGGACCUACGAUCAACGAUCUGCAUAUACACACCCACACACAUGACUCACUACACCCCGACACGUCAACACGCCAGUCCCACGCGACUCCACGAUAGACGGUCUCAAGUGGUAUCUAGUAGUCUGCGAAAUCACGGACAUGUAGUUUUUGGAGAAGAUGUUGACGACACGGAAUCUCUACUCUUAGGAGGACUGAACUUCAUUAGCGCUUACUAUAUUGCCACGUGACCAGGACGGCGGUUAGACGAUGUGACUUUGCUUCCGCACCUCUUGCGCCCCAAAGCUCAUUGACCACAGACUAGACACAAAUCGUUAGAUUUCGACCUGUACAUCCACUCGUACGUACAACCCUAUUCCUAAUGGUGCACCCUUCUCCUGGUAUAGGUGGUGUCUGUUAGUAAGCCCUGUCACAGAAAUAAACUCUCAAAUCACUGGGACCGUUCCCGACAACACCGGGGGUCCGGGGGUAGACCCUUAAGCUGAAAAGAUAAACCAAAGUGCGAUAUUGAAGUUUAUUGGGUGGAAGACUUAUUGAUCAAUCGCGUGGUUGCGGCAGAAAGAGUACAUGACACACACACUUUUAGCCAAAUUGGGUAUUUAGCUGGUGGUGACGGGACUAAGUGCCUAAGGUGACGUGAUUUUCUGUAGGUCCCACAUAAGCCCGCAGAGUUCUUUAGUAGACCGUUUCUGCAGAUUGGACGACAAUUAGUAGUUAAAAGCCCGUAUGCCAAGAUAUUGGCCGCCUCUGUAAACCGUUCUGUAUCGCCUUUCGUCAGAAGAAUCAUUGCCAACGGUGCUACUCACGCAGUGUCACCCGUCCCCUCAUCCUGCAGACACAUGACUGGUAUUCUAUCGUUGAACACAUGCGGUCUGCGAUACGCAACCCUCUGCAGACUAGCGAGAUGGUGUUUGUUUGGCUGAAUUUAGUACGGGGGGCUCGUGGAUAUUAACCGUCUGUCUACCAACAGGUGCAAUGAUUCUUCUUGUCUUGCUCAUUUUGCCUUGUAUUGUUUCUAUCAUUCGGAACAGUCUUUUACGUUUGAAGUCACUGAUAAACGCUGAUGUUGACGGACUGAUUACGAUACCCAUGAUGGCCGACCUGACUUGUAUCCAAAACCUGUCUGGGUACUACAUCCUCCCUGCGACACUGACGAUGACAUCCAUUUCUCAUCUAUUGUAAAUAUUCCAUUGACCAUGACUUCUCAUUUCACCCUAAAUAAGCUUGCUUGACAACAGGAUACUUUAUAUCCUAAAAACAGCCUUAGUGCCUUCAUUAUGUCUGCAGGUGAUCUGUGGUUUCGGCGAUGAGCGCGAUGUCCUCAGCAAAACUGAGGUGGUUCAGUAGCUCGCCGUUGAUGGGCGGCGAAUAGGUUCGGAGAGAUGGGGUCUCCUCGCUUAACACCUUUUUGGUCUGGUGCUUUUACGGGUGACGAUAGUAGAGCUAUGUCGGUCAUGCAUCUGGAAUUUGCCUCUUGGAGCAGUUGGAUGUACUACGCCUCGACCCCUUGUCUCUCCAGCGAGUUCAACGCUGCGUUUAUCUCGACCCUGUCGGAGGCCUUCUCGUAGUCUACAAACGCGACACGCAGAGGCAUCCUGUACGCUUUCGCUCGCUCGAGCAAUUGGGUCAGAGUGAAUGUGAUCUAUCGUGCUAUAGUUCUUCCGGAAGCCUGCUUGCGCUCUUGGUUGCUGUUCAUCUAGAUGUGGUGAUGUUUUCACGAUUACCUUCGUGAACAGCUCGUACACAUGAGACGAGGCAUAUGGACCGAUUAGCUUUUCAGAUCUUCUCUAUCACCCUUUUUUGUACAGCAGGAUGGUAUUCGACUCUUUUGUAUUCUGAGGGUAUUUUUCCCUCAUCCAGAUAGUGAGUGAAUCGCUUGGCGAGGAUUUUCCAUAGCUGCUCUCUGCCUGACUUCAGCAUCUCGGAUGUUAUGCCAUCUUUCCCUGGCGCUGUCCCGCUAUUCAUCGAUUUGACUGCUCGUUCAACCUCACUGGCGAGGAUGGGUGGCACUUUUUCUUUCCUUUGAGAUGCCGCCAGCGGCUGCGUAUUCCUGUCUGACUUAAAAAGCUUGGUGUAGAAGUCUUUGCAGAUCUUUUCCACCUCACUUUUAUCGCUGACAGGUAUGCCAGCUGUGUUCUUAAGUGUAGUCACCUCUGAUCUAUAUAUUGCCAUGUUCCCCUCUCAUUUCUUGAGGCUCUUCAUUUCCUCUACGGCCUUUGGGAUUUUCUACCUGGUAUUUCUCAGUGUUUCUUCAGAUGUUGAUGUAUCACUCUGCUAAGAAGGGAAUAUUCAAUUCACUUCAUGUUCAUCCUCUUCUCCAGCAGUUUCUUAGUUUCCUCCGAGAUUCUUCCCUUCUGCUCCCUCGGGCACGCCUCCUCAGCCUUCCUCAAGCACUCCUUCAAUUUCCUUAUCGGUGAGUCGUAGUCCGUAUCCGUUUCGUCAACUUGAUGCCAGGUUUCCUGCAGCCGCGUCUCGUCGUAGACCUUCACGCGUUCUUCGGGGCCAAAUGCAAUGUCGUCUUCUCCCUCGUCCAGUCGAUGACUGACUGUCUUUGCCCUCAGUAGGCGGUGAUCGCUGCCGUCGUGAAAUGCCGCUAUGAUGGAGACGUGCUGCGAGAUGCGCCGCUUGUCGACCAGGAUAUACUCUCUCAUUGCGAUGCUCAGCGAUGUCCAGGUCUCCCGUCACGACGGUGUAUGUGGAUUUCACAGCUAUCAUUUUGUCUAGCUGGCGAUAGAAUUCCUCCACUCCGUCGUCGUCGCUGGCACUCGUGGGAACGUAGGUCUGGACGAUCUUGAGGGUGGCUUUCCCAUGGAGAUUCACGUUCAAUACCCCGAUCUGUGUUGAAACAAACUGGCGAGAGGCGAACUUUGAAUCUCAUUCCUUGCUUACGAUGAACCCGAUACCUCCAACUGAUCUGACAGUCCGCUUUUACCGCGAACUCUCUCUUCCUUCCUCUGACGGGUCUCGCUCAACCCUUGUGCGUCGCAUGUGAUCAUGCAUCUGAUCGUCAUCAUCGUCGUCGUCCUCCUCCAUCAGGUGGUUCAAACGGUUCCUCCCUGCCAAAGACCUGUAGUUGUAGGUACAUAUGGCAAGGUUAAUCCUGUUCCUUUGCAGCCUUCUGGGACCUGAGAUUCUUGGCAGCCUCUCGUCGCUCGAGUUGCAUCCAGCCGCCUUGGAAUGGCCCGAUUGACGCGCAGGGUACCGAGGCCUGUUUCUUCGUGCCGUUUUAGCCUUUGAAUGUCGCCAUCCCGCUGGCUGGGCGGGCAGGCCGAUACCUCUAGAAAAUGCGUAAUUUCUAGGAUAAAAUAGUCUGACCCCUUUUGUAGCAUGGUAAAACCUGCCAGGGCAUUUAGCCCUGCUACCAUAGCUGGGCUAUGACAGCCAUCGUUGCCACUUUGCAGCACUGAAGUAGGAUUCUGCAGUGGGAAUACUAUCCUGUAUUAACCAUGUCUUUUUGUAAUUAAACAACACAAAUAUAUAUAUAUAUUUUUUUGGCUAAUUUCCAUGACAAGAUUUUAAGAGACGUUUGUGUCGCACAUCAUAAAAGAUAAUCUUGGCAUCUGUUCAUUUUAAUUGUAGGAGAAAACUGCUUAAUUUUGAGCUUUUGUGGGGACAGGGCGAUGUUCUAUAGAUGUGUCCUAUAAUUAUUCAUGAGACCGCAUGUUCUUAUCCUAUGAGAAGAUGCAGUCUCUGAAUUAUUCAUGCUUUAGUAGAUGAGAGAGGUGUCCAAAUGGGUCGUGUGUGUGUCAGUGGUGUAAGAGUUCCAGUGUGUUGUUUCAGGAAAGCUAUGAGAAUUGGAGAAAGGUGGACUUCGGACUUGCUCGUGAAAGCAGUUUGCGACUAUACGAUGAUGUGGUACUGAAUCCCGAGGACACUUUCAUCCCUUCAAAUGAGGAUUCAGGAGGAGAGAAGUCUUGUGCCUCAUCAGAGCCCUGCGUAUUGCUGCCACUGCGAACUUUGUCACUAUCCGCCUUUCAUUAGGACGUUUUUCUGCUUUGAAAAGGAUCAAGGCUUUCCAACUCAAUGCUACCGGACAACGGCGUUCGGGUGGCCUUGCUCUGAUGUCCGUUGAAAAGCGGACGCUGUGCCAACCGAAGAAGUCAGACAGCUUAUACGACAAGGUUCUAGACGAGUUCACGUAGAAGGAUCGGAGAAUGAAUUUCAUUUACAAGUAAGCAGCACUAGAAGUGUUCUUUGAGAGCUUUGGGAUGGAGAUGCAGGAGAUCGACUAGUUACCUCUAUGGAAGCUCAAUGCCCUCACGAAGAAAGCCAGACACUUCUACCCAUUUGAAACACCAUACACUUGUGAAACAUAGCCAUGUAUUUGCUUGUAAUCUCUGUUUCCAUUUUCUUGUGACCUUUUUGUAUGUGCAAACGGGAAGGAAUCGGAAGUGAUUUCAUUCAUCUUCUAUUUUAUUGUGUAGUGCAAAAUAAUUUGUAUGUUACCAUCGUUUUAAAGAAAAGGUGUUGUUUUGGCAGUGUAUUGUAUUUUACUAAUCCCUUGAUUUACUGUAUGUCUUUCUUUUGGGCUCAUUUGUUUCUUUUUCUGCUCACUUCUUUGCUAAACCCCACUUACCUCUUUCUCUAAGCUGGGUAACUUCCUCUUGUGUAACACUAAGUAAGUCUAAGUCCUGUCUGUGUUAGUUGUUGUGAUUAACGUAAUGAGCUUUCAUGUACACUUGUAUACUGGUGGGUCUUUGUCUUUAUGUUUGCUUCCUCAGAGUUGUUAACCUGAAAGCGCUCACUCAUUUGCCCCUGCACAUUCAGCAGGAUCUGGAAGCUUUAACUUUGUUCCCUUUGCCAUUUUCAGAUGUCACCUCUUUGAUGUGUCUUUUGUUCUAUAUGUAAAUUAAUUUUGAUGCUGAAAGGAUGUUGUACCUCAUAUGGUAUGGAUAAGCCUGUAGGUGCCAAGGCACAGAGCAUUGGGUCAUUUCCUGUCUCCUUUUUAAAAAAAAAAAAAAAAAAAAAACCACACCCUUGGAUAUUGUAAAGAUAACUCAAUAAUUGUUGAUUGUUGUUGCUUCUGCUGUGCAAAUUUGUGAUAUUAUUGUAAAGACUCUCGUGUUCGCACUGAGACUCUGAGCCCAGGGGCCCCGACUAGCCGUAAGAGAACUCUGACGGAAUUGAACAAAGCAGCCACUGGUUAGGGGUGAAAACAAAGGAUGCCCAGAAUGAGCAGGGGGUAGUCUGUUUUCUGGCAUGCUGAAAGCACCCCAUCUGCAUCUAUGUCGGGUUGAAUCAAGGAAUGUAAUAUGGGAGGUGCCCACCUGAUGAGCCCUGGGAAGUGUCUGCCACCCAUAAAACCUUUCAUCAUCUCAUGUUGGGUGUUGUGUUUUCUUUGUGUGUCAUUCUUGGUGUGUCUUACGCAGGGGUCGACUUUACCGUUAGACAAAGUUCAGCAAUAGUCUCUGUCCCCGAGCUAACAUGGGCCACCAACACGC
ensembl:lncRNA